UGCGUAGGCGGAUUAUUAAGUCAGUGGUGAAAGUUUACGGCUCAACCGUAAAAGUGCCAUUGAUACUGGUAGUCUUGAGUACAGUAGAGGUAGGCGGAAUUUAUGAUGUAGCGGUGAAAUGCAUAGAUACCAUAAAGAACACCGAUAGCGAAGGCAGCUUACUAUACUGAGACUGACGCUGAGGCACGAAAGCGUGGGGAGCGAACAGGAUUAGAUACCCUGGUAGUC
rnacentral:rRNA from 1 species